UUUACCUACGGGGGGCAGCAGUGGGGGAUAUUGCACAAUGGGGGGAACCCUGAUGCAGCGACGCCGCGUGGGCGAUGGAGCGCCUCGGCGCGUAAAGCCCUAUCAGCAGGGAAGAAGAUGACGGUACCUGACUAAGAAGCCCCGGCUAAAUACGUGCCAGCAGCCGCGGUAAUACGUAUGGGGCAAGCGUUAUCCGGAUUUACUGGGUGAAAAGGGAGCGGAGGCGGCCUGGCAAGCCUGAUGUGAAAUA
rnacentral:rRNA from 1 species